GACGUACAGUGCUACCACCUGAUGACGACGUGUUGGCAUGACAACCCAGCUAUGCGGCCGACGUUCACUAGCAUGAGGGUCUCCCUUCGACACAUACCCGCAUUUCAGAAACUCGGUGCGAAUUUGGUCGACCACCUUCUUACCAGGAUGGAGCAGUACGCUACCAACCUCGAAUCUCUCGUCGAAGAGAGAACACGAGCUUUUCUCGACGAGAAACGAAAAUCGGAAGAAUUACUCUACGAAAUAUUGCCGAGGAGCGUGGCACGGCAGUUGGUCCAAGGCAAAACCGUCAAACCGGAAGCUUUUGAAAGCGUAACGAUAUAUUUUAGCGACAUCGUU